rnacentral:rRNA from 1 species
UGGGGAAUAUUGCACAAUGGGCGCAAGCCUGAUGCAGCCAUGCCGCGUGUGUGAAGAAGGCCUUCGGGUUGUAAAGCACUUUCAGCGAGGAGGAAGGGUAGUGUGUUAAUAGCACAUUGCAUUGACGUUACUCGCAGAAGAAGCACCGGCUAACUCCGUGCCAGCAGCCGCGGUAAUACGGAGGGUGCAAGCGUUAAUCGGAAUUACUGGGCGUAAAGCGCACGCAGGCGGUUUGUUAAGUCAGAUGUGAAAUCCCCGCGCUUAACGUGGGAACUGCAUUUG